CCCUUAGAUGAUUUGGGCUGCACGCGCGCUACACUGACCCUAACAAUGAGCAACUGUCUGGCCUGAGAUGGCUGGGUAGCUUUUUCAACCCAUGUCAUGAUUGGGCUAGAUUUUUGUAAGUCUUGAUCUCUAACGAGGAAUCCCUAGUAUGCGUGAAUCAUCAAUCCAUGCAGAUUAUGUCCCUGCCCUUUGUACACACCGCCCGUCGCUCCUACUGAUUGGGUGAUCCGGUGAGCUGUUCGGCCAUAGCAAUGUUUCUUGAGCAGGGCAAUGAAUGUUUCGCAAACCUUGCCACUUAGAGGAAGGAGAAGUCGUAACA
rnacentral:rRNA from 1 species